UACGUAGGGUGCAAGCGUUAAUCGGAAUUACUGGGCGUAAAGCGUGCGCAGGCGGUCAUGUAAGACAGAUGUGAAAUCCCCGGGCUCAACCUGGGAACUGCAUUUGUGACUGCAUUGCUGGAGUGCGGCAGAGGGGGAUGGAAUUCCGCGUGUAGCAGUGAAAUGCGUAGAUAUGCGGAGGAACACCGAUGGCGAAGGCAAUCCCCUGGGCCUGCACUGACGCUCAUGCACGAAAGCGUGGGGAGCAAACAGG
rnacentral:rRNA from 1 species